CAGCUCUUACAUGGCCUGCUGAAGCCAAGCAGGUUUGCACCCGGUCAGUACCUGGAUGGGAGACCACAUGGGAAGCUAGGUUGAAAGUAGU
rnacentral:rRNA from 1 species